rnacentral:tRNA from 1 species
AGUAGAGUGACUGAUUUAGGUAUAAGGCUGUAAACCUUAUUAAGAAGUAAUACUUCCUUUACUA